GUCUAUUUGAAGAUAUAAAAAGUCUAGCCUGCCCACUGAUAUAAAAUUUUUAAGGGCCGCGGUAUUUCUGACUGUGCAAAGGUAGCAUAAUCGUUAGUUUUUUAAUUGAAAUCUUGUAUGAAUGGUUUGACAAGAAAAAAUCUGUCUUUAUAACUAUUUAUCGAAUUUAACUUUUAAGUGAAAAGGCUUAAAUAGCUUAAAAAGACGAUAAGACCCUAUAAAACUUAAUAUUAAUUAGUUAUUUAAGUAAAAUUUUAAGUGUAUAAAUACUUAGUGAUUGGUUUUUAUUUUAUUGGGGUGAUAAUGGUAAAGUGAUUAUUAACUGUUAAUUUUUUUAUAACAAAAAUUGUUGAAUAAAAAUUUAAAUAAAUGAUCCUUAUUGAAGAUUAAAAGUUUAAGUUACUUUAGGGAUAACAGCGUUAUUUUUUUUGAGAGUUCUUAUCGAGAAAAAAGUUUGCGACCUCGAUGUUGAAUUAAAAUAUCUGUAUAAUUGUAGCAGUUAUAUAAGAAGGUCUGUUCGACCUUUAAAUUUUUACAUGAUUUGAGUUCAAACCGGCGUGAG
rnacentral:rRNA from 1 species